AGGAAAAUAGGGAAAAAAAAUUUGAAGCAAAAAAUGUGGUAAAAUAUUUAAUAACAUAAAUAACAUAAUAUUUCACCAGUGUAAAUGUAAAUAGAACCCAACAACAGCGUUAACAGCCAUUAUUCUCCCAAAUGGGGUGUGUGUCUCACAGUCUGA